CUCUUUUGUAAUUUCUCUCUUCUUGUUCUCACCAUCCUCCAUGGCUGAUUCAUUGAAGGUCCUAUAUCCUUACCACCACUUCAAAUAACCUCCUCAAUAGCUUGUGAUGGGAAUGACGAGAAUCCAACAAGUAUGAUCUUCCAUGAGUUUUGGCUGCCCCAAACAAUGCUUUUAAGUUUUUCAGAUAAAUUUGCUAUACCUUGGGCAUGGAGCUUGUUUUAUUGGUGGUAAUUGGAGCAUCAUGCUAAUUGAGAGAUUUAUGCUAUGAUUGGUUGGUGACUCAACUUUCUAAAUUUAUUGAGGCCAUAGCUAAUUCUAUCGGAGGUUGGGCCCUUGAGGUUUGUUAGUCUUGGGCAUAGUAGGCAUAGAUUCUAUCGUCGUGGUUGCCUUUCCUUGGAAGGAUUGUGAUAUGAUGUUGAUCCAUUUGGAAUUUUGGAAUUUUGGAUAUAUUUGGAGACGUUAUUUGUAAUUCAUAUUAUUUGUAAAUGUGUUAUAGAGCACUGACUUGUAAUAUGGAGAUUUUAGUAUGGUUAUUUAUCCUUAACAUUCUUAUC